rnacentral:rRNA from 1 species
UACGGGCUUAACACAUGCAAGUCGAGGGGCAUCAGGAAGAAAGCUUGCUUUCUUUGCUGGCGACCGGCGCACGGGUGAGUAACACGUAUCCAACCUGCCCUUUACUCGGGGAUAGCCUUUCGAAAGAAAGAUUAAUACCCGAUAGCAUAAUGAUUCCGCAUGGUUUCAUUAUUAAAGGAUUCCGGUAAAGGAUGGGGAUGCGUUCCAUUAGGUUGUUGGUGAGGUAACGGCCCACCAAGCCUUCGAUGGAUAGGGGUUCUGAGAGGAAGGUCCCCCACAUUGGAACUGAGACACGGUCCAAACUCCUACGGGAGGCAGCAGUGAGGAAUAUUGGUCAAUGGGCGCUAGCCUGAACCAGCCAAGUAGCGUGAAGGAUGAAGGCUCUAUGGGUCGUAAACUUCUUUUAUAUAAGAAUAAAGUGCAGUAUGUAUACUGUUUUGUAUGUAUUAUAUGAAUAAGGAUCGGCUAACUCCGUGCCAGCAGCCGCGGUAAUACGGAGGAUCCGAGCGUUAUCCGGAUUUAUUGGGUUUAAAGGGAGCGUAGGUGGACUGGUAAGUCAGUUGUGAAAGUUUGCGGCUCAACCGUAAAAUUGCAGUUGAUACUGUCAGUCUUGAGUACAGUAGAGGUGGGCGGAAUUCGUGGUGUAGCGGUGAAAUGCUUAGAUAUCACGAAGAACUCCGAUUGCGAAGGCAGCUCACUGGACUGCAACUGACACUGAUGCUCGAAAGUGUGGGUAUCAAACAGGAUUAGAUACCCUGGUAGUCCACACAGUAAACGAUGAAUACUCGCUGUUUGCGAUAUACAGUAAGCGGCCAAGCGAAAGCAUUAAGUAUUCCACCUGGGGAGUACGCCGGCAACGGUGAAACUCAAAGGAAUUGACGGGGGCCCGCACAAGCGGAGGAACAUGUGGUUUAAUUCGAUGAUACGCGAGGAACCUUACCCGGGCUUAAAUUGCAGUGGAAUGAUGUGGAAACAUGUCAGUGAGCAAUCACCGCUGUGAAGGUGCUGCAUGGUUGUCGUCAGCUCGUGCCGUGAGGUGUCGGCUUAAGUGCCAUAACGAGCGCAACCCUUAUCUUUAGUUACUAACAGGUUAUGCUGAGGACUCUAGAGAGACUGCCGUCGUAAGAUGUGAGGAAGGUGGGGAUGACGUCAAAUCAGCACGGCCCUUACGUCCGGGGCUACACACGUGUUACAAUGGGGGGUACAGAAGGCAGCUAGCGGGUGACCGUAUGCUAAUCCCAAAAUCCUCUCUCAGUUCGGAUCGAAGUCUGCAACCCGACUUCGUGAAGCUGGAUUCGCUAGUAAUCGCGCAUCAGCCACGGCGCGGUGAAUACGUUCCCGGGCCUUGUACACACCGCCCGUCAAGCCAUGGGAGCCGGGGGUACCUGAAGUACGUAACCGCAAGGAUCGUCCUAGGGUAAAACUGGUGACUGGGGCU